rnacentral:misc_RNA from 1 species
CAACCCUCAAGCUCUGCUUGGUAUUGGGCCUCGCCGUCACCGGCGGGCCUUAAAAUCAGUGGCGGUGCCGUCUGGCUCCAAGCGUAGUAAUUUUUCUCGCUUUGGAGUUUGUCGUGUGCUCGCCAAAACCCCCAAUUUUUUAA